rnacentral:rRNA from 1 species
CCCCAGCGCCACGAGUGGCAACCGUAUAUUUGGCCUAAAGCGUCCGUAGCUGGCCUGCUCAAUCCUUUGUGAAAUUGUCGCGCUCAACGCAACAACGUGCAGAGGACACUGACAGGCUCGAGACCGGGAGGAGUUAGAGGUAUGUCCGGGGGAGCGGUAAAAUGUGAUAAUCCCGGAUGGACCACCUGUGGCGAAGGCGUCUAACUAGAACGGUUCUGACAGUGAGGGACGAAAGCUAGGGGAGCAAACCGG